GACGAACGCUGGCGGCGUGCUUAACACAUGCAAGUCGAACGGAAAGGCCCUGCUUUUGUUGGUUUCUCGUGUGUCGAACGGGUGUGUAUCACGUGUGUAUCCUGCCCUUUACUUUGGGAUAACUUCAUUAAACUGGGUCUCAUACCGGAUAUGAGCUCCUGCUGCAUGUUGGGUUUUGGAAAGUUUCGGCGUUUGUGGAUGGACUCGCGGCUUAUCAGCUUGUUGGUGGGGUAGUGGCUUACCAAGGCUUUGACGGGUAGCCGGCCUGAGAGGGUGACCGGCCACAUUGGGACUGAGAUACGGCCCAGACUCCUAAGGGAGGCAGCAGUGGGGAAUAUUGCACAAUGGGCGGAAGCCUGAUGCAGCAACGCCGCGUGCGGGAUGACGGCCUUCGGGUUGUAAACCGCUUUCGCCUGUGACGAAGCGUGAGUGACGGUAAUGGGUAAAGAAGCACCGGCUAACUACGUG
rnacentral:rRNA from 1 species